CCGCCACAGGUAGGUCGACAUCAAGUUGUGGAUAGCCAGACUUGCACAAGACAAUUUUUUUUAUCCUAGUUGGAGUCUCUUCACCUCCCUUUUCGGACACAACUUCCUCAUCCUCAGAACUCGAGUCAUCAGUAGAUGAGUUGUUGCGGUUGUUGUCGCCGUUUAUGUUGUUGUUAUUGUUUCUAUUGUUGUUGUAGUUUCGGUUGUUGUUAGCGACGUCGUCCCCCUUAGUCGUCAAUGCCGUCAACUUAUCC
rnacentral:lncRNA from 1 species